AACGAACGCUGGCGGCAUGCCUAACACAUGCAAGUCGAACGAGAUCUUCGGGUCUAGUGGCGCACGGGUGCGUAACGCGUGGGAAUCUGCCCUUUGGUUCGGAAUAACAGUUGGAAACGACUGCUAAUACCGGAUGAUGACGAAAGUCCAAAGAUUUAUCGCCAGAGGAUGAGCCCGCGUAGGAUUAGCUAGCUGGUGUGGUAAAGGCGCACCAAGGCGACGAUCCUUAGCUGGUCUGGGAGGAUGAUCAGCCACACUGGGACUGAGACACGGCCCAGACUCCUACGGGAGGCAGCAGUGGGGAAUAUUGGACAAUGGGCGAAAGCCUGAUCCAGCAAUGCCGCGUGAGUGAUGAAGGCCUUAGGGUUGUAAAGCUCUUUUACCCGGGAUGAUAAUGACAGUACCGGGAGAAUAAGCUCCGGCUAACUCCGUGCCAGCCGCCGCAGUAA
rnacentral:rRNA from 1 species